UUAUUUUGUGUGCAUAGAUCGUCCUUUUUGUUUGAACGCUUUUUGUUAAAAUUUGAAUAUGACAUUGUCUAUAGAUAUUGAACUCUGAGUUAUAACAAUCGUGAUUUUAAUUAAUAAAGAAAACAGAAGAAUACAACGUAAAGCUAGAGCUAACCAUGUAAAACUUUAUGUAAAGGCGAAAGAGACCAAUUUUGCUUAGUAACGUAGACAAGAUUUUAUUAUAAAGAAUGAAUAAAAGAAAACCUACAAUAAGAAGCAAUGUUGCAUAUCCGGAUUCAUCGAUCAUAAUAAUUGGUGGUCAACGUUAAGCCAUUGUUUACUAGAAGAUUUACAGAAAUAUAUUAUUUGUUAAUAAUAUUACUGUAAAAUAAAUCGCUAUCCACAUUACAUCCUAUAAAAUGUUUUCGAGUUCUAUUAUGAGUAAACGUGAUCUUAUUGAUGGCUUUGGUGUUAAUUUAAAGAAUCAUUUGAUUGAUACCUGUAUCUAGUCUAUCUUGAAUCUAUAACAAAAUUGAAAAAGAACUAGUAUAUUAUUCGUUUAAAUAUAUUUGUUAUAACUACUAAUUAUAGUUUUUGAAAAGUAUAUUUUUAUCUCGAAGGUACUUCGUGGUAAUAAAUAGGAUAUUCAAAUUUGUUAAGUAAAUUGCUCCAUUAUUCAGUUUAGAACAAAACGUUUUGAAUGAAUAAAAUUCUAUUGGAUUGAAAUUUUUCUCCUUCCCUCUUCUGCUAUAAUAGUUGUAAGAAGACUAAGUGACUUAAAUUUUUUACGUUGAUCAAAGCAAUCUCAAUUCACUCUGUCAUCAGAAAUCACCUUAAUAUAUCUACUUCCUGGAGCAGUUUUCAUUUUACGGCGUUUUCCAAGUAUUCGUUUCCGAGAACUUCAUUUUUAACCAACUCAAAAGAAAAAACACGUUUUCUAUUAGAGUGUUGUUAUAUUUCGAAAAAUAGUAGUUAAAUUGAAUAGAUAAAAUGUAAAAUUAUAAUUAAAAUAUUGAUAUAUUAAAUUUCUAGUAAUUUUAUAA